UAAUUUAACAAUCUUAAUAAGAGAGAACUUGGCUACUAUUGAUAGGAAUAGUACUUUAGAAAAAAUAGUGCCCAUGGUAUUUUCGUAAUUUUUGUUUCAUUUGUGGGUUUUUGUAAAAAAAGAAAAUAUCUGUUUUAUCUUUAACAGCUCUGCAGAUUUUUCUUCUUCACUUUCACUUUUUACUUUCUAUCGUUACAGUUUCGCAACGAAAAAAGAACGAGAUUUCCUGUCAAUCUUUGCCUGGUGAAAGUGGAUAAUCUGAUCAUAAUCCAACAAAAAAUCACACUAGACAAAUCCACUACAUCAACAACACAAGGAGAGCUCAACACAACACAAUCGAAUUAGAGUCUUGUGGUUGGGUUUCUUGUAUUGUUGUUUGCUUUGAGGGCGCCGAUCGGGAACAGAGAGUCUUGGCUGAGUUUCUUGUGUCGUUGGUCCAUCGCCAGAAGCACAGUUUGGUCGAAGCAGAAACAUGUCGGAGGCCCUCCUCUUAUCACUGAUACAGAAGCUCGACACUAAUUAUCGAAGGCAUGAACCAAAUGACGAAAAGGUAAUUAAAGAGAUGCGAGAGAUUGUGGAUAUUGUGAGGGAUAAGAAAUUGGUAGAGGGGAGAAUCCUAAAUUUUUUGGUAUGUGACCUUGUCGACGUGGCUGAUGAUGCUCUCUACCUUUUCAAACAAGACGUAACCUAUCCUUGGAACUUUGACUCCGUGCAUAGUUGGAUGGGAGAGAUAAAAAAACGCAUGCUUAAACUGGGAGAUGAUGGGGCAGAGACAGAGUCCAACAUGAGAUCAUCACACGACACGUCCCGACUUAGGUGUACGCGAUGAAGAUGUUCAUAAGAUGAAACCUUUGGAUUCUAAGCAGAGUUGGCAAUUGUUUCUGAAAACAAUAAAUCAUGGCAAUAAAUUGACGGGUGAGCACAAAUUCCCUAUGUCCUUGAAGCAUAUGGCAGAACAAAUGUUGAGAAAAUGUGGCGGUCUGCCAUUAGGUAUAAAAGAGGUAGGAAAGCAGUUAGCGGAAAAGAAAGUCUCGGGAGGGAGUGAAUGGGAACAACUUCUUGAAUCAGUUGAUUUUGAUUCAACAUUGAAGUUUUUAGAACCAUUUUAUCAUAAGUUGGAUCCCAAACUGGACUCAUGUUUCUUGUCUAUGGCCUUCUUUAAGGAAAAUAUAACUUUGAGGAAAGAAAAGUUGAAACAGAUUUGGGUUGCCUGGAGGAGUAGUAGUACAGGCUUCAGAAAAUAUGACUGUGGACUAUAUUUAAAUGGUUUAGUCAAUGAAUCCUUUAUUGAAGUUGGGGACAAGAGCACGGAGUAUCACUUGAAUGCUCUACUACACAUGCUAUCCAUUCAAAAAGCAGAGCAGAAACUAUGUUUUGAGAUCCUAAGGAACAACGAAAAUAAUCGACCCUCUGAGAGUCCUCGUCAUCACCGUGUUAUCAUUUGUAGCAGAGAUAAGUUCAACUACUCCACGGAUCAAGAUAAACAUCUUGUGUCUCUCUUCUUCCAUGGAGCACGGUUUCUUGUGUCGUUGUCUGCAUUGAGAGUACUGGCCGCUGUCGGCGUCGGCAUCGGCAUCGGCUUUAGCUGAGUUGUGGCUCAGUUUCUUGUGUCGUUGUCUGCGUUGAGAGUACUGCCCAGUGUCGGCAUCGGCAUCAGCAGCAGCUUUCUUAGCUGCUCAUCAGCAUCAACCAUUUAAUUUUUAAUCACAGCCGUUUAAAUACUAGUGAUCUAUGGUUAAUAGUUGGUCUUAUUUUAUAGACUUAGAGUGGUUCAUUGAAUAGCGGAACCCUAUAUAUUUGAAUCUAUUUAUUUGAUCUGACUGUUAUUCUUUGUUUUGUAAUUAAAAUGUUUUUGUUACUUACUGCCAUGAUCUAAUUAGGUUGUCAAAAGAAAUGGAAGAGCGUAUGAUUCCAAUGAAUGAGAUUCUAACAGGAUUGAAGGAAUGGAAAUGCAAGGUGAGAGUGAUCAAGAAGCUAGGAGCUAAGCAAGCUAACAAUAAUCUUAAUAAAUUUCAUAAACUAAUCUUGGGUGAUGGCUUGGGCCACACUUUUGAUGCUGUGAUAUUCCAUGAUAAUAUAGAUAGGUUCAAACAUGUGCUUCAAGAGGGUAAUGCUUACAUGGUGAAAGGAGCCUAUGUUUCUGAUCCAAAGCAAUAAUGGAAUCCAAUUGUGACAUGUAAUUACCAAUGGACGUUCAGAAAAGAUACUUCGGUGAAUGAAGAACCAAAUGAUUCGAUACCGACUGGUGGACUAUGUUUUAGAACAACUCCAAGUUGCGAGUUCCACAAAUUCCUCUCAACAAAGACAUAUUGAUCAAUACUGGUUGUGUCAUUAUUGGUACCCAUGAACCUCGGGUAGUCACAAUCAAAGGACAGGGUAAAGUCAUUCGUGAGUAUGCUGCUAUUGAUACAGAGCUGGAAACGUUCGUGGUGACAUUCUGGGAAGAUUCUGUAUCCGAUGAGAUCUAUGCUAAAUUGGAACCUAUUUCGAAUAGGACACCGUUGUUGUUGUUGUUGAAUUUUUUAGUCGUGUCAUAUUACGGAUUGAGUCUGACCACCAAUGCUCAGUCAAUUGUCUUGGAUGGCUCUGAGAGUGAAAUGCUAAUUGAACUAGAGAGAUGGAAGCAAGAGAAUGAAGAGGCCAUUAACAUGUUAGUACAAACUGGUGGUUUUUUGAAAAGAAAGUGUUGCGCUCACCCAAGCAACCUCUGCAGAUUACUAAAGUGGAUCAAAUAUUGCAGAAUAAAGAGAAUACAUAAUUUAAUGUAAAAGUUAAAGCAAGAUUGGAAAAUGAAUAUCAAGACUACUUUUACAUUGGUUGUCCAAUAUGUUCCACAAAGACAGCUGCCUCAUAUGGUACAGAGUUCAUGUGUUACUCAACACCAUGCAAGAAUAUGAGAAUAGAAAAUCGGAGAUGCUAUUGAGAUUUUACAAGAUGAUGCUGCAAUACCAUCUGAGAAAAUUAGCUUUGAACCUGACGAAGUUCAUCUAGAGCAAGGGGUGCUAAAAAGUGCGACGAGGCAAUUGGUUUUUCAUGAUUCAUUAGGUGAAAUAUUUCCAACUCAUUUUGUGAUUGCAACCAAUUAAUAUUUAUUGUAAUUAAAUAUGAACAUUUUAGUUAAAUUAAGCUAAAAUUAAUUUUAGUUUUUUGUAAUGAUGAUUACUGCAAUUAAUAUAGAUAAUGAUAAAGACAUUCGAGCAAAGAUUGCUGCCAAAGCUAAAGGCAAGGGGAAAAAUGUCCCAAGAAAGCCAUGUUGAACACAUCAAAGAAAUCUUCAGGGGUAAAAAGAAAAUUUGCUCUAUUGUUCUAUCCGAAGAUUCAAGAAAUGACAGUAUGAAUUGUGUAGUGGAAUCGGCUAAAAGAGAUAAUGAUGAUACGAUUGAGAAUUUUGAUGAUGCACAUUUGGAUAAGCCUCUAUCAGGCACACUAUACCGGGAGAAACAGGACCUUGUGGCAUAAACAUCAAAGAAGACUAAAAUAACUCAAGCUAAGGACAAACAUGUAGCUAAGGGUACAAAACUGAAAAACUAGAGAAAAACUAUUGUCAUUAUAUAGACACUUAAUCUUUGAAGUGUGUUCUUGUAUGAUUGAUGGGAGUUUCUGUGCAACAUUAUCAACAAAGAAGGCGAAGAAAAUGAAGUCUAAUAUCUUAAAAGACAAGAUACAAAGCUAGCAUAUCUGAUUCAUCCCACCAACUUACUGAAGUGGUUGUUGAGCAUAAUAAAGGCAAAGGAGUCCCACAAACACCAACACUCAAGUCAAGGAGUGGCAGAACAAUCAAGCGAAGAAUAUUGGACUAAUGAAGUGAAAGAUUUUAUGAGACUUUGAAGCAACUUCUGCAUGUACUUUGACUUUUGCCUCUAUUACACCGCGUCGGUCACAUUCUACUAUAUUUUGAGGUUACCUUUUGCAUGUACAUUGUAUAUGCCUCGAUGUAGUUUUUAGCUUAAUGCGAUAUGUAUAUAUAACGCGUAAUGUCUGAAAGGAUAGUUAAAUAGGUUAUAUAUAAAUUGUAUUGUGUAGAUUGUUGCUCCUAGCUGUACAAAUUAAAUACUCUUUGCUGUAUUACAACUGUGACCUACAAGUCAUAGUAUAAUAUGUCUACACUUAAAAAUGA